GUCGUAUUGUAAGAAAGAGAGGCCAAAUCCAUAAAUACACUAUCUAUCUAGCCAAAUUUAUCACUGAUACACUAUAAAAUAAUCAAAUAUAAUAUAUAUCCAUUUUAUUUAUAAAUAUACCCCCAAGGAAUGUUCUCUAGAAUAUACUGAGAAAUAUGCUCCUAUCACUUUUCCCUAUAAAUAGGGUCAGUUAAGGAUAGAAAGGGUUCCUUUCUUUCAGACUUCUUCUUUCUUUCCUCUCUACUGUACUGUGCUACUACCCUUCUAAUUUGAGCAUCAAAGGAUC
rnacentral:misc_RNA from 1 species